GAAAACGGUCGCUGUCACACAUGCAAGUCGCACGCUGAAGCCGACAGCUUGCUGUUGGUGGAUGAGUGGCGAACGGGUGAGUAACACGUGAGUAACCUGCCCCUGCAUUUCGGGAUAAGCCUGGGAAACCGGGUCUAAUACCGGAUACGACCAAUCCUUGCAUGAGGGUUGGUGGAAAGUUUUUCGAUCGGGGAUGGGCUCGCGGCCUAUCAGCUUGUUGGUGGGGUAAUGGCCCACCAAGGCGACGACGGGUAGCCGGCCUGAGAGGGCGACCGGCCACACUGGGACUGAGACACGGCCCAGACUCCUACGGGAGGCAGCAGUGGGGAAUAUUGCACAAUGGGGGAAACCCUGAUGCAGCGACGCAGCGUGCGGGAUGACGGCCUUCGGGUUGUAUUGGCGAGAGUCGUCCCUUCUUCGCUUUCACUGCCAUGGACGUCUUCUUCAUGGCCGAUUGAUGCACGGUCGUCGGCGCCAUUAUGCAUCCCAUGCUCGCAACAGGCCUUAAUAACCCGCAUUUCUCGAGCAUCCACCAACCAGUGCAGACGACACCUUUGCGUUGCGAAUUGCAACGCGCACGUCACCCAUGCCCGACUGAUCUCACGUCAUCCCCUCAGACCUUAAGGACCAACAUCGCCACUUUACGCGUCUAUAGUCCUCCUUGUGGCCACCGCUUCCGCCCUGAGACCCGACAUUGACUCACUGAGGAGCGAAAGCAUGGGGAGCGAACAGGAUUAGAUACCCUGGUAGUCCAUGCCGUAAACGUUGGGCACUAGGUGUGGGGGACAUUCCACGUUCUCCGCGCCGUAGCUAACGCAUUAAGUGCCCCGCCUGGGGAGUACGGGUCGCAAGGCUAAAACUCAAAGGUAUUGACGGGGGCCCGCACAAGCGGUCGGUAGCAUGCGGAUUAAUUCGAUGCAACGUCGUAAGUAACAUUACCAAGUCUUGACAUACACUGGACCGUUCUGGAUACAGUUCUUCUCACUGUAGUCUGGUGAUACAGGUGGUG
rnacentral:rRNA from 1 species